AGAAGAGCCAUUUGUCCUCUUCAGAAUGUCAUACCUGUGGACCAGCUUUUUUGCUAUAUUUGCAACUGUUUUAAUUGGUGUUGCAGUGAGUGCUGCCACAGGCGAAAUGAAGAACACAAAAUGGAAAGAUCAUCUUUGUUGUGACUGGGCUGUCGCACUUUGGAGAAAACUGAUCCCUUUUUAUCGUGAAGAGAAAGUUCCGGGCGCGACCGCACCGAAUACCAAUGGAGAGCAGCACAGCCACAAACUUGAAAUUGAUACGCUCCUCACAUACACAAAAGAGACAAAUAUUUAGAUGCGGCCAUACAGCACGAUAUGUCUGCUGCUAGGUGUUUAGUAUUGUAACCGUCUU
rnacentral:lncRNA from 1 species